AUCGUAACUCCUACGGGAGGCAGCAGUGGGGAAUAUUGGACAAUGGGCGAAAGCCUGAUCCAGCAAUGCCGCGUGAGUGAUGAAGGCCUUAGGGUUGUAAAGCUCUUUUACCCGGGAUGAUAAUGACAGUACCGGGAGAAUAAGCUCCGGCUAACUCCGUGCCAGCAGCCGCGGUAAUACGGAGGGAGCUAGCGUUGUUCGGAAUUACUGGGCGUAAAGCGCACGUAGGCGGCUUCGCAAGUCAGAGGUGAAAGCCUGGGGCUCAACCCCAGAACUGCCUUUGAGACUGCGUCGCUCGAAUCCGGGAGAGGUGAGUGGAAUUCCGAGUGUAGAGGUGAAAUUCGUAGAUAUUCGGAAGAACACCAGUGGCGAAGGCGGCUCACUGGACCGGUAUUGACGCUGAGGUGCGAAAGCGUGGGGAGCAAACAGGAUUAGAAACCCUAGUAGUCCUAGAGC
rnacentral:rRNA from 1 species